GUUGGCAAGGGAUGAUGAAAUUUCUUAUCCUACACACUGAUAUAUCAAGUGAAGAUUAAAACUCCGCUUAUUAUCUGAUGCCUUC
rnacentral:snoRNA from 1 species